AGCGAACGCUGGCGGCAGGCUUAACACAUGCAAGUCGAACGGGCACCUUCGGGUGUCAGUGGCAGACGGGUGAGUAACACGUGGGAACGUACCCUUUGGUUCGGAACAACUCUGGGAAACUGGAGCUAAUACCGGAUACGCCCUGAUGGGGAAAGGUUUAUCCGCCGAAGGAUCGGCCCGCGUCUGAUUAGCUAGUUGGUGGGGUAACGGCCCGCCAAGGCGACGAUCAGUAGCUGGUCUGAGAGGAUGAUCAGCCACACUGGGACUGAGACACGGCCCAGACUCCUACGGGAGGCAGCAGUGGGGAAUCUUGCGCAAUGGGCGAAAGCCUGACGCAGCGACGCCGCGUGA
rnacentral:rRNA from 1 species